rnacentral:rRNA from 1 species
UACGGAGGGGGCAAGCGUUACUCGGAAUUAUUGGGCGUAAAGGGCGCGUAGGCGGUCGUGUGCGUCAGAGGUGAAAUCCCCCGGCUUAACCGGGGAGCUGCCUCUGAUACGGCACGGCUUGAGUCCGGGAGAGGGGAGCGGAAUUCCCAGUGUAGCGGUGAAAUGCGUAGAUAUUGGGAGGAACACCGGUGGCGAAGGCGGCUCCCUGGACCGGUACUGACGCUGAGGCGCGAAAGCGUGGGUAGCAAACAGG